UACGUAGGGUGCAAGCGUUGUCCGGAAUUAUUGGGCGUAAAGAGCUCGUAGGCGGUUUUGUUGCGUCGGCUGUGAAAUCCCGAGGCUCAACCUCGGGUCUGCAGUCGAUACGAGCAAACUAGAGUGUUGCAGGGGAGACUGGAAUUCCUGGUGUAGCGGUGAAAUGCGCAGAUAUCAGGAGGAACACCGGUGGCGAAGGCGGGUCUCUGGGCAACAACUGACGCUGAGGAGCGAAAAGCGUGGGGGAGCGAACAGG
rnacentral:rRNA from 1 species